ACUCCUACGGGAGGCAGCAGUGGGAAUAUUGCACAAUGGGCGCAAGCCUGAUGCAGCCAUGCCGCGUGUGUGAAGAAGGCCUUCGGGUUGGUAAAAGCACUUUCAGUUCGUGAGGAAGGCUAGUGUAGUUAAUAGCUGCAUUAUUUGACGUUAGCGACAGAAGAAGCACCGGCUAACUCCGUGCCAGCAGCCGCGGUAAUACGGAGGGUGCGAGCGUUAAUCGGAAUUAGUAG
rnacentral:rRNA from 1 species